ACUGCUCAGUAACACGUCGAUAAUCUGCCCUUAGGUUUGGGAUAACCUCGGGAAACUGAGGCUAAACCCGGAUAGAGGAUUAUUUCUGGAAAGAUUUUUCCUUUAAAAGUAAUGCCUAAGGAUGAGUUGGCGGCUGAUUAGGUUGUUGGUGGUGUAACGGACCACCAAGCCGAAGAUCAGUAGGAGUCUUGAGAGAGAUCGCUCCGAGAAGGGCACUGAGACACAGGCCCUAGCCCUACGGGGUGCAGCAGCCGCGAAACCUUUACAAUGCACGAAAGUGUGAUAAGGUAACUCUGAGUGCUUACCUUUUGGUAGGCUUUUGCCAAGAGUAAAUACCUUGGCGAAUAAGUGGUGGGUAAGACUGGUGCCAGCCGCCGCGGUAACACCAGCGCCACAAGUGGGAAUCGUAUUUAUUGGGCCUAAAGCGUCCGUAGCCGGUUUAACAAAUCUUUUGUGAAAUCGUUAAUUUGAAUUUAACGGCGUGCAAGAGACACUGUUAAACUUGGGACCAGGAGGAGUCAGAAGUAUUUUCGAGGUAACGGUAAAAUGUUAUAAUCUCGGAAGGACUACCGGUGGCGAAGGCGUCUGACUAGAAUGGAUCCGACGGUGAGGGACGAAAGCCAGGGGAGCAAUCCGGAUUAGAUACCCGAGUAGUCCUGGCUGUAAACUCUGCGAGCUAGGUGUUGCAUAUUCUCCGUGAAUAUGCAGUAUCGAAGCGAAGUGAUAAGCUCGCCGCCUGGGAAGUAUGGUCGCAAGACUGAAACUUAAAGGAAUUGGCGGGGGAG
rnacentral:rRNA from 1 species